ACGAACGCUGGCGGCGUGCUUAACACAUGCCAGUCGUACGGUAAGGCCCUUUCGGGGGUACACGCGUGGCGAACGGGUGAGUAACACGUGAGUAACCUGCCCACAACUUUGGGAUAACGCUAGGAAACUGGUGCUAAUACUGGAUAUGUGCUCCUGCUGCAUGGUGGGGGUUGGAAAGCUCCGGCGGUUGUGGAUGGACUCGCGGCCUAUCAGCUUGUUGGUGGGGUAGUGGCCUACCAAGGCGGCGACGGGUAGCCGGCCUGAGAGGGUGACCGGCCACAGUGGGACUGAGAUACGGCCCAGACUCCUACGGGAGGCAGCAGUGGGGAAUAUUGCACAAUGGGCGCAAGCCUGAUGCAGCAACGCCGCGUGCGGGAUGACGGCCUUCGGGUUGGAAACCGCUUUCAGCAGGGACGAAGCUUUUUGUGACGGUACCUGCAGAAGAAGCACCGGCUAACUACGUG
rnacentral:rRNA from 1 species